UACGUAGGGUGCGAGCGUUGUCCGGAAUUAUUGGGCGUAAAGGGCUCGUAGGCGGUUUGUCGCGUCGGGAGUGAAAACCAGGUGCUUAACACCUGGCUUGCUUUCGAUACGGGCAGACUAGAGGUAUUCAGGGGAGAACGGAAUUCCAGGUGUAGCGGUGAAAUGCGUAGAUAUCUGGAGGAAUACCGGUGGCGAAGGCGGCAUCCUGGACCAUUACUGACGCUGAGGCGCGAAAGCUAGGGGAGCAAACGGG
rnacentral:rRNA from 1 species